UGCGGCGGCUUACCAUGCAAGUCGAGGGGUAUAGUUCUUCGGAGCUAGAGACCGGCGCACGGGUGCGUAACGCGUAUGCAAUCUACCUUUUACAGAGGGAUAGCCCAGAGAAAUUUGGAUUAAUACCUCAUAGUAUGUGAGAAUCGCAUGGUUUUCACAUUAAAGUCACAACGGUAAAAGAUGAGCAUGCGUCCCAUUAGCUUGUUGGUAAGGUAACGGCUUACCAAGGCAACGAUGGGUAGGGGUCCUGAGAGGGAGAUCCCCCACACUGGUACUGAGACACGGACCAGACUCCUACGGGAGGCAGCAGUGAGGAAUAUUGGACAAUGGGCGCAAGCCUGAUCCAGCCAUGCCGCGUGCAGGAUGACGGUCCUAUGGAUUGUAAACUGCUUUUGUACAGGAAGAAACACUCCCUCGUGAGGGAGCUUGACGGUACUGUAAGAAUAAGGAUCGGCUAACUCCGUGCCAGCAGCCGCGGUAAUA
rnacentral:rRNA from 1 species